UUUUUUUUUUUUUUUUUUUUUUUUUUUUUCGUUCAAUCCGAAGAUAAUUCUUUUUUAAUUAAAAGA
rnacentral:ribozyme from 15 species